GACGAACGCUGGCGGCGUGCUUAACACAUGCAAGUCGAACGGAAAGGCCCUGCUUUUGUGGGGUGCUCGAGUGGCGAACGGGUGAGUAACACGUGAGUAACCUGCCCUUGACUUUGGGAUAACUUCAGGAAACUGGGGCUAAUACCGGAUAGGAGCUCCUGCUGCAUGGUGGGGGUUGGAAAGUUUCGGCGGUUGGGGAUGGACUCGCGGCUUAUCAGCUUGUUGGUGGGGUAGUGGCUUACCAAGGCUUUGACGGGUAGCCGGCCUGAGAGGGUGACCGGCCACAUUGGGACUGAGAUACGGCCCAGACUCCUACGGGAGGCAGCAGUGCGGAAUAUUGCACAAUGGGCGGAAGCCUGAUGCAGCAACGCCGCGUGCGGGAUGACGGCCUUCGGGUUGUAAACCGCUUUCGCCUGUGACGAAGCGUGAGUGACGGUAAUGGGUAAAGAAGCAUCGGCUAACUACGUG
rnacentral:rRNA from 1 species